rnacentral:rRNA from 1 species
UUNUAACAAGGUCUCGCUUGGUGAACCAGCGGAGGGAUCAUUA